GUGCCAGCAGCCUUGGUAAUUCCAGCUCCAAUAGCGUAUAUUAAAGUUGUUGUGGUUAAAAAGCUCGUAGUUGAACCUUGGGCCUGGCUGGCCGGUCCGCCUCACCGCGUGCACUGGUCCGGCCGGGCCUUUCCCUCUGUGGAACCCCAUACCCUUCACUGGGCGUGGCGGGGAAACAGGACAUUUACUUUGAAAAAAUUAGAGUGCUCCAGGCAGGCCUAUGCUCGAAUACAUUAGCAUGGAAUAAUAAAAUAGGACGCGCGGUUCUAUUUUGUUGGUUUAUAGGACCGCCGUAAUGAUUAAUAGGGACAGUCGGGGGCAUCAGUAUUCAACUGUCAGAGGUGAAAUUCUUGGAUCAGUUGAAGACUAACUACUGCGAAAGCAUUUGCCAAGGAUGUUUUCAUUAAUCAGGAACGAAAGUUAGGGGAUCGAAGACGAUCAGAUACCGUCGUAGUCUUAACCAUAAACUAUGCCGACUAGGGAUCGGACGGUGUUAUUCAUGACCCGUUCGGCACCUUACGAGAAAUCAAAAGUGCUUGGGCUCCAGGGGGAGUAUGGUCGCAAGGCUGAAACUUAAAGAAAAUUGACGGGAAGGCACCACCAGGGGUGGAGGCUUGCGGGCUUAAUUUUGACUCUACACGGGGAAACUCACCCAGGUCCAGACCCAAUAAGGAUUGACAGAUUGAGAGCUCUUUCUUUGAUUUUGUGUGUGGUGGGGCAUGGGCCGUGCUUAGUUGGUGGGGUGACUAGUCUGCUUUAUUGCCGAUAACGAAAGAGGACCUUAAACCUGCUAAAUAGCCCCCAUUGUUCGGCAGGGGGGCUUGCCUUCUUUUAAGGGACUUUCUGGUUCAAGGCC
rnacentral:rRNA from 1 species